UACGAAGGGGGCUAGCGUUGCUCGGAAUUACUGGGCGUAAAGGGCGCGUAGGCGGAUGUUUAAGUCAGCGGUGAAAGCCCAGGGCUCAACCUUGGAAACUGCCAUUGAUACUGGACAUCUUGAGUACGGGAGAGGUGAGUGGAACACCGAGUGUAGAGGUGAAAUUCGUAGAUAUUCGGUAGAACACCAGUGGCGAAGGCGACUCACUGGCCCGUUACUGACGCUGAGGCGCGAAAGCGUGGGAGCAAACAGG
rnacentral:rRNA from 1 species